GACAACACGAGCCCAAACCCGAAUUCAUCUCCGGGUAAUGUAAUGCGACAUUUCGAUUCUCAAAUAGCAAGGCUUGAGACUUUUGAGUCAAACUAGGGUUUUGCUUGCAGAAGAGUAACUCGUCGGAGAAACAGCAUCAGCAGCCAUGGCUAGCACCAAAGUACAGAGGAUUAUGACCCAGCCCAUUAAUCUGAUCUUCAGAUUUCUUCAGAGUAAAGCUCGCAUUCAGAGAUGGCUAUUUGAGCAGAAGGAUCAGAGGAUUGAAGGACGUAUUAUUGGUUUUGAUGAGUACAUGAAU
rnacentral:misc_RNA from 1 species